UGUCCACCAAGGCUAGGCUAGGACAAAAGGGAAGAAUCACCUAGUGUUUUUUUGUCUCUGCUAGGAUUUGAACCUUAGACCUCAGGUUUUCAACACACUCCAUUUAGCACUACGCCACACCCUUGGGUGCUAUAAAAUGCAAAAGACUUCGAAUUGGAAUGAUAUGGAUUAUAAAUUCUUUGUGAGAGAGGGCAAAGGUUGAUUGAUUGGUUUGCCGAGGAUACGUAUAGUCAAUCUCUACUUAUUUAGGAUUGACGCAUAGUUGAUUAAUUGAUUCAUUUAACUUACAAAAUUUCACAUGAAGCUUAACCAGCACGUUUAUGGAGCUAAAUGAUCAGAAACAAAAUCUAUUGCAUUCAAAUUUUAAUUGCUUAACUCUCAAAAUAUAGGCUUGCAAUCAGCACGUCAUUUCAAUAAUUAAACAGCAAAUAAUAUGCAACUCAUCCUGUUACAUUAAAGAGCUCAUGACAUGAUUAGCUUGCGUCCAACCAUCUAUUAUAUUGCUGCUAGUGUGAGUUUAUGAAAUUUCUUCGUUCUUUUUUUUUCUAUAAAGAACUUACAGGGAUAUGAAUAUAAAAUGCAAAUGACUUUUUUUAAAUAACCGUGGUGUCAGGGCCAGCUUUAGCGCACCUAGAUUAAAUACAACAAUCCACGGGAACCUGCCACCUCCCACCAGUAGCAGAUAUCAGAUAUCAGGUAAAUAUGUCCACCAAGGCUAGGCUAGGACAAAAGGGAAGAAUCACCUAGUGUUUUUUUGUCUCUGCUAGGAUUUGAACCUUAGACCUCAGGUUUUCAACACACUACAUUUAGCACUACGCCACACCCUUGGGUGCUAUAAAAUGCAAAAGACUUCGAAUUGGAAUGAUAUGGAUUAUAAAUUCUUUGUGAGAGGGCAAAGGUUGAUUGAUUGGUUUGCCGAGGAUCCGUAUAGUCAAUCUCUACUUAUUUAGGAUUGACGCAUAGUUGAUUAAUUGAUUCAUUUAACUUACAAAAUAUCACAUGAAGCUUAACCAGCACGUUUAUGGAGCUAAAUGAUCAGAAACAAAAUCUA
rnacentral:lncRNA from 1 species